GUUAGUGUGGCAGGGCCCGGCUACAUACAAACCCCAGGCUCUUACACUGAAGGUUAAAAACCCUUAUUCUAACU
rnacentral:tRNA from 1 species